rnacentral:misc_RNA from 1 species
UAAUAAGUGUUCUACUGCACUUUUUAAAAAUAGUACUCACCUUGUGUGCAAUGUUGUGUGGAAUUCCUACUUUCGAGUGAGAAUUUCACACCUACACCAACCUAUAAACUUGAAAUACUUUGUCUGAAAAACUAUUAUGAAUACUUAAUUCAAAAUA